rnacentral:rRNA from 1 species
GAUUGACUCAGUGUAAUAGACUAUUCGCUGAGGACACUACUUGUAGUGGCCGAUAUUUAACUAAGGAAAGCUUCAAACCUAUUGUAGUCAAUUUUAGAUUAGACCUCAGAUCAGGCAGGAUUACCCGCUGAACUUAAGCAUAUCAAUAAGCGGAGGAAAAGAAACUAACAAGGAUUCCCCUAGUAACGGCGAGUGAAGCGGGAAGAGCUCAAAUUUGUAAUCUGGCCCUUUCAGGGUCCGAGUUGUAAUCUCGAGAAGUGUUUUCCGCGUCGGACUGCAUACAAGUCUAUUGGAAUAUAGCGUCAUAGUGGUGAGAGCCCCGUAACUGAUGCAGAUGCCCGAUGCUUUGUGAUACACUUUCGAAGAGUCGAGUUGUUUGGGAAUGCAGCUCAAAUUGGGUGGUAAAUUCCAUCUAAAGCUAAAUAUUGGCGAGAGACCGAUAGCGAACAAGUACCGUGAGGGAAAGAUGAAAAGCACUUUGGAAAGAGAGUUAACAGUACGUGAAAUUGUUGGAAGGGAAACGCUUGAAAUCAGACUUGCUAUUCGGAAUUCAGCCGCAAGGUGUACUUUUCGAUUUGCAGGCCAGCAUCAGUUUUUGGGGGUGGAAAAGGGUGGAGAGAAGGUAGCAACCCCGGUUGUGUUAUAGCUCUUCACUGGAUUCAUCUUUGGGGACUGAGGAUCGCAGUGCGCAUUUAUUU